UGAGGAAUAUUGGUCAAUGGACGCAAGUCUGAACCAGCCAUGCCGCGUGCAGGAUGACGGCUCUAUGAGUUGUAAACUGCUUUUGUACGAGGGUAAUAUCAGAUACGUGUAUCUGCUUGAAAGUAUCGUACGAAUAAGGAUCGGCUAACUCCGUGCCAGCAGCCGCGGUAAUACGGAGGAUCCAAGCGUUAUCCGGAUUUAUUGGGUUUAAAGGGUGCGUAGGCGGUUUUAUAAGUUAGAGGUGAAAAUUCGGGGCUCAACUCCGGACGUGCCUCUAAUACUGUAUGACUAGAGAAUAGAUGCGGUAGGCGGAAUGUAUGGUGUAGCGGUGAAAUGCGUAGAGAUCAUACAGAACACCGAUUGCGAAGGCAGCUUACCAAACUAUAUCUGACGUUGAGGCACGAAAGCGUGGGGAGCAAACA
rnacentral:rRNA from 1 species